UCGAAAAAUACAAUUCGGCGUUAUUUAUUCAUCCGUGUAAGUUCAGGGAUUGCGCGAGUUCUUCAACGUAUUGACAAUUGUCAUGGACAUUGGUUCGCACGGUUCGUUGGGCCCGACACUGAUCGACGAGUUAAUAAUACGCGAGACUGCUGUGAUACGUUUCAGUUGACAGUCAAUUGUUGAAACAUGAGUGUCGGGAGGAAGUCGAAGGUUAAUCAUCGGGCAUUGUUCAAACCCAGGUGUAGGAAUGAUGAUGAUGAGGAAUUGUCGGAGAGGAUUAUUAUUGAUGCGAGGAGAUCCGGGGAACUUAAUUUGGCCGGGAGGGGACUGGCUACGGUUCCCCAAAGGAUAUGGACGAUAAAUCAGCUCUCGAAAGUAGAAGUCGAGGAGUUGGGAAGAAAUCUCGAUUUCGAUGAUGACAAGGAGCGUUGGUGGGAGCAGGAGGCCCUAAAAAAACUCAAUCUGAAUGGAAACAGUAUCAAAACUAUCGAUUCCGAGAUCGAGUAUUUAUCAGAACUUGAAGACUUGGACUUCCAUGAUAAUCUCCUGGAGGAAGUGCCGAAGGCAAUCGGAGCCCUGACGAAGCUCCGAAAAUUUAACAUUUCUCACAACAAUUUAGUGAAGAUUCACAAGAGAUUCUUCACCCUGGAAAAUCUGAAGCAACUGGAUCUCUCGCAUAACAAUCUGGCUGACCUUGAUCCGGCAAUUGGGGAUUUAGUGAUGUUGGAGUCACUGAACCUAUCGUUCAAUAAUCUAACAACCUUGCCCGUGGGUCUGGGGUACCUCGUGCGUUUGUGUACGUUCGAUGUAAGUCAUAAUCUACUCGUGGAGUUGCCACCAGACAUAAUGAGCAUGAGAGUCCUAAAAAAACUGGAUGCAAGCUCAAACCACCUAGAGCUGGUCCCUCCCCUGGGUGAGAUGAGAAAACUCGAGUCCCUCAUUCUCCACACCAACAAUCUCAAAAAUUUUCCCAACAUAACCGGAUGCACCGCCUUGAGGGAACUCAAUCUAUCUAACAACUCCAUAGACGAAAUUGACAUGGAGUGCUUGGAGGACAUGGGCCAAUUGAGGUCUCUCCUACUGGCCCACAAUAAUAUCGAAGUCAUACCCGAUGACAUCAUAAAACUUCUGAAUAUGGAGCGACUCGAUCUGUCCUCCAACAAACUAACACUAAUUCCCAAUUUUAUCUGCAUAAUGCCGAACCUCAAGCACUUCAUAAUAAAUGGAAAUGAAAAAAUUAAAAACGUGAGGAGAGACAUCGUCCAAUGUGGAACUCCAAGAAUUUUGAAACAUCUUCGUCAAGGUUUUGACUCUGAGAGUCUCGAUGUGCAGUCGUCGGCGUCACCAGGAGCUGUACUAGCACCUGACAAAUACACGAUGAAAAAUACAAAACUGUUGAGUCUGACAGCUCAACACCUCCACGAAGUACCUGACGAGGUCCUUGAGGACGCCAAAACAGCCGGAGUGACCUGCGUAGACCUCAGCAAAAAUAAACUACCCCAAGUACCUGAGAAACUGUCGACGAUAACUUCUGUCGAGGACAUGAAAAUCUCCUGCAAUCAAUUGGCAUCAUUACCCGAGUGGUUCGGGGAACCUUUCAAGCAUCUGAGAUAUAUCGAUCUCAGUCAGAAUCAAUUAUCAUCAUUGCCAGAGAGCAUGGGGAGGCUGGAACGAUUGAGGGAGAUCAACAUCUCGUUCAACAGGUUUACAACAAUUCCUGAAUCAAUCUGCAACAUUGAAAACCUGGAGAUACUAAUUAUAAACGACAACCACAUAACAGAGAUUGACGUUACGUGUCUGGAAAAAUUGCGACGUCUCGCGACCCUAGAUCUGUCGAACAACGACAUUGCACAUGUGCCACCUGAACUGGGGAACAUGAGGAACAUUAGGUGACAAAUACGAUCGAUGGCUUGUUGGUGCUAAUGAUCACUCUGCAUGAUUGUCUCAAUAUUUAUUUAAAUAAUCAUUUAGGAUGCUUGAUGUUACAGCUUGUAAUGCCCCCUCAAGCAUUAAAUUGCAUGAUAUCUUCAUGAUUAUCAUCCUGCUCAUGUUUUCAUCGUCAGAUCGAUGUCCAAACUGUUGUCAUGUGUAUGUUCGUAACAAUAUUUUAUUAUCAUUUGUUGAUCAGUUGGUUUUGUGGGUUUAUGGGGUAAU